CGCGAAAACUUUACAAUGCUGGCAACAGCGAUAAGGGAACCUCGAGUGCCAGGUUACAAAUCUGGCUGUCAAGAUGCCUAAAAAGCAUUUCAUAGCAAGGGCCGGGCAAGACCGGUGCCAGCCGCCGCGGUAACACCGGCGGCUCGAGUGGUAACCGUUAUUAUUGGGUCUAAAGGGUCUGUAGCCGGCCGGAUAAGUCUCUUGAGAAAUCUGGCAGCUUAACUGUCAGGCUUUCAGGAGAUACUGUCUGGCUCGAGGCCGGGAGAGGUGAGAGGUACUUCAGGGGUAGGGGUGAAAUCUUGUAAUCCUUGAAGGACCACCAGUGGCGAAGGCGUCUCACCAGAACGGACCUGACGGCAAGGGACGAAAGCUAGGGGCACGAACCG
rnacentral:rRNA from 1 species